rnacentral:lncRNA from 1 species
AUGCCAUUGCAGCGUGAGAUCCAGCGCCUCUGGAGGCAGCAGGAGGAGGUGCAGAUAGGGAAGGAACUCGCAAAGGAAGUUGCAUCCCGGAAGUCGCCAAGAACAAACCCACGAGGUUUUCCAUGGGGGGAACAAUUUAUAAACCGAAUCUGGAAAAGAGGGUACAGAAUGAGCUGGAGCCACCUCCUAACUGAGGCCAUGGCAAUGACCAACUGUCCCCAGCCAGGAAGAACUGAAGCCUGCGCCGGGAGACAGAUUGCACCCUGCGCUGUGCAGCCCUGGUUCUUCCGUGAGUCACAGACAUUUGCAUCUCAUUAGAGGAUUCUGGAAGACCAGAGGAAUGUGUCUGUAUCCCCUGAAUUAGAUCAGAGCCAGAAGACUCUCAAGGCAAACGGUUUUCAGCCAGAAGCCUGCAGUGAGUCCAGUCCCAGAG